ensembl:snoRNA
CAAGGAUAUGUGAUGAUUUCAUAGUUCAGCUGAUUUACCAUGAAGAACCUUCUUUCGCUCCUAUCUGAUACACUUG